rnacentral:rRNA from 1 species
AUUGAACGCUGGCGGCAUGCCUUACACAUGCAAGUCGAACGGCAGCACGGGUGCUUGCACCUGGUGGCGAGUGGCGAACGGGUGAGUAAUACAUCGGAACAUGUCCUGUAGUGGGGGAUAGCCCGGCGAAAGCCGGAUUAAUACCGCAUACGAUCUACGGAUGAAAGCGGGGGACCUUCGGGCCUCGCGCUAUAGGGUUGGCCGAUGGCUGAUUAGCUAGUUGGUGGGGUAAAGGCCUACCAAGGCGACGAUCAGUAGCUGGUCAGAGAGGACGACCAGCCACACUGGGACUGAGACACGGCCCAGACUCCUACGGGAGGCAGCAGUGGGGAAUUUUGGACAAUGGGCGAAAGCCUGAUCCAGCAAUGCCGCGUGUGUGAAGAAGGCCUUCGGGUUGUAAAGCACUUUUGUCCGGAAAGAAAUCCUUGGCCCUAAUACGGUCGGGGGAUGACGGUACCGGAAGAAUAAGCACCGGCUAACUACGUG